AACGCCAAGAACCUUACCAAGGCUUGACAUGAACCGGAAAGGCGUAGAAAUACGUCCCCCACUUGUGGUCGGUUUACAGGUGGUGCAUGGUUGUCGUCAGCUCGUGUCGUGAGAUGUUGGGUUAAGUCCCGCAACGAGCGCAACCCUCGUUCUAUGUUGCCAGCACGUGAUGGUGGGGACUCAUAGGAGACUGCCGGGGUCAACUCGGAGGAAGGUGGGGAUGACGUCAAAUCAUCAUGCCCCUUAUGUCUUGGGCUCCACGCAUGCUACAGUGGCCGGUUCAAAGGGUUGCGAUACUGUGAGGUGGAGCUAAUCCCAAAAAGCCGGUCUCAGUUCGGAUUGGGGUCUGCAACUCGACCCCAUGAAGUCGGAGUCGCUAGUAAUCGCAGAUCAGCAACGCUGCGGUGAAUACGUUCCCGGGCCUUGUACACACCG
rnacentral:rRNA from 1 species